rnacentral:rRNA from 1 species
UACAGAGGUCCCGAGCGUUGUUCGGAUUCACUGGGCGUAAAGGGUGCGUAGGUGGUGAGGUAAGUCGGAUGUGAAAUCUCCGAGCUCAACUCGGAAAUGGCAUUGGAAACUACCUUGCUUGAGGGUUGGAGGGGGGACUGGAAUGACUUGGUGUAGCAGUGAAAUGCGUAGAUAUCAAGUGGAACACCAGUGGCGAAGGCGAGUCCCUGGACAACUCCUGACACUGAGGCACGAAAGCUAGGGGAGCAAACAGG